UACGUAGGGGGCUAGCGUUGUCCGGAAUCAUUGGGCGUAAAGAGCGUGUAGGCGGCCCGAUAAGUCCGCUGUGAAAGUCCAGGGCUCAACCCUGGGAUGCCGGUGGAUACUGUCGGGCUCGAGUCCGGAAGAGGAGUGUGGAAUUCCUGGUGUAGCGGUGAAAUGCGCAGAUAUCAGGAGGAACACCAAUGGCGAAGGCGACUACCUGGCCUGUUUCUUGACGCUGAGGCGCGAAAGCUAGGGGAGCAAACGGG
rnacentral:rRNA from 1 species